UGCAGCAGGCGCGAAACCUUUACACUGCACGACAGUGCGAUAAGGGAACUCCGAGUGGGAGGGCAUAUAGUCCUCGCUUUUGUACACCGUAGGGAGGUGUACGAAUAAGGGCUGGGCAAGACCGGUGCCAGCCGCCGCGGUAAUACCGGCAGCCCGAGUGAUGGCCGAUAUUAUUGGGCCUAAAGCGUCCGUAGCCAGCCAGACAGGUCCGUCGGGAAAUCCACUCGCUCAACGAGUGGGCGCCCGGCGGAAACCAGUUGGCUUGGGGCGGGACGCCCCGAGGGGUACGUCCGGCGUACGAGUGAAAUCCUGUAAUCCUGGACGGACCACAAGUUUCGAUUCGCCCGCCGCGCCCGGAGCCCGUCGUGAUGUCUCGCCCGCCGCGCCC
rnacentral:rRNA from 1 species